rfam:Myotis lucifugus cont2.29205, whole genome shotgun sequence.
AUACUUUUGAAAACUUGGCAGCACAUAUCCUAAAAUUGGAAUGAUACAGAGAAGAUUAGCUUGGUCCCAAAAGAGGAACAACUGUAAUAAUCUGAACAAUAAAGAUUUUUU